rnacentral:lncRNA from 1 species
CUGGGCUCUUCUCGGGGAGUGGAGUGCUAUGACAGAUGAGACUUUCAUGCAAGAAAAUAAAUCCUGCACAUUUGAUGUACUGCUUUAAACUUAAAGACCUCUUUGGACCCGAAAUUGUAAGAUCCUGAGUGGCAACUGGAAAGGAUUCGUGGUUACUUGGAUCUAGGAAAAUCCUGUUUUAUCUCUGAUGGGACUAAGACAAAGCACUCCUGUUAGUACAACCCAGCUUGCGUUCCUCCCUGCCUGCAGAGGAAGCAUUUGGAUGCUUCCCUUCCCGUUGGAAGUUGCCAGUCUCUCUUCAGAGUGAUGAGGGCAGAACUGGUCAUUACGGAAAGAGUCGGAGGAACGGUGCCACAGCAUCAGGUUCAGGUUAACCACCUGGGACGGUAAACUACCGAAGUCUGCUUCUGCUUCCAAAGGAGAACCGCAGUGAAAGUGGUGGACAUGUCCUACCAUCUGUAAGCUCAAGAUCCUCUAGAGAACUGCAGGAUUCAGGGUGCUCUACUGACAGUACCUGGGGCAGCCGGAUCAGGAAAGAGUUUGUCUAGCCACAGUUGUCCCUUGCAGUCAGCUACAGAAGACCCAGUGCUGUGAGAAAAUCAGACAGAAGUAUUUCCAAGACUUUCCAUGUCUGACUAACCAAGGUAAAAUCAGGAACUAACCUAACAGCUUCUGCACCAUGGCAGAAGAGUUUGCAGAAAUGUACCUGUUUUACUUUUCAAUAGAUUAUAUUUUAACACUU